AAACUUUGCUGAAAAAAGUGCGUCAACCAGAAACACUCAAUAACAAGGCUCCCAGGGACCCUGGGUUCUGAGGCAGAGAUGGCAGGGACCACAGUGCUGCAGGAGUUUAGUGGAGGGAGCUUGCUCCUGGCUGGCUGGAGGGCAGCUCAGCUUCCUGGAUGGAGGAAGCAGGCCUGUAUGGCGGGCUGGGGCUCAGGCAGAACACUCCAUGGAGCCCAGGCCUCUGCAAAGGAAUGCUCCUGCCCUGUUCUCCUGUUUUGCCCUUGGAAAGGAUAGAUGAUGGCUUGCUCUGGUCCUCGUUCCCUGGUCCUCCCUCCCCUAGUCCUCUCUCCCUUGGUUCUUCUCCCAUAGCCCUUCCUCUGCUGGUCCUCCCUCCCCCAGUCCUCCUCCCCUGGUCCUCUUUCCCCUGGUCUUCCUACCCUAGUCCUCCCUCUCCUCAUGCCCUUCCCCUGGUCCUCCUUCCGCUGGUCUUACCUACCUAGUCCUCCGUCCCCUCUUCCUCCUCCAGCAGUCCUCCCUGCCCUGGUCCUCCUCCCUCAGUGCUCCCUGCCCUGCUUCUCCUCCCUUGUUGGUCAGUCAGGUGUGUCACACUGUGGUGGGCUGGGUGGUCAACACCAGGACAAGGAGUUGAGAGACCCCCUUCACAUCAGGGAGAAAGAGCUCCUAUGUCAAGGGAGCCCCCAAUCUGAGGGGGAGACAUGGCUGCUACCUUGAGGAAGUGUCCAAUUUAAGGGAAGAGACACAGUCUCUGUUUUGGGGAGCCUGGCCUCAUCUGCCCCUGGAGAAAGCCACUCAAGAGCAUUGCAGAGCAGGCGCGAAUGAGCGCUCAUCAACAGGGAGAAACCAGCCUCCCCAGGGCGCAGGGAGGGAGGAGCGAGCUGGCUGACAGUUCCUGGAAACCAGUCAGAGGGGCCGUUCCUCGGGGCAUGACGCUGGCUCCUGCACAGAUCCUGCUCCUCUGUGGCCUUCCUGGGCUGCCCUCCCCUCCUCCGGGACUGCUCUGGACUGACAUUGCUCAGGCUGGAGUGCAAUGGUGUGAUCUCGGCUCACUGCAACCUCCACCUCCCAGGUUCAAGCUAUUCUCCUGCCUCAGCCUCCUGAGUAGCUGGGAUUACAGAUCCUGGUGGCUGUGGUCGGUAAUUCCAGCUUCGUGCUGGCUACAGGUGGAUGAUGCCCACCUGGCUGCCGAUGACCUCUGCACCAAGUGAGGCUGGGUCUCUGGAGCUGCCCCAGGGGCUGGACAAGCUGACCCUGGCCGGGGCCAACCUGGAGAUGCAGAUUGAGAACCUCAAGGAGGACCUGGUCUACCUGAAGAAGAACCACAAGCAGGAAAUGAACGUCCUUUGAGGUCAGGUGGAUGAGGAUGUCAGUGUGAAGAUGGACACUGUGCCUGGAGUGAACCUGAGCUGCAUCCUGAAUGAGAUGCGUGACCAGGACAAGACAUUGGUGGAGAAGAGCUGCAAGGAUGCCGAGGGCUGGUUCUUCAGCAUGAAAGAGGGGCUGAACUGCGAGGUGGCCACCAACACAGAGGCCCUGCAGAGUGGCUGGAUAGAGAUAUGGAGCUCUACGUCUCUGUGCAGAACCUGAGCCGUCCCAGCUCAGCAAGAAAGCAUCGCUGGAGGGCAGCCUGGUGGAGAUGGAGGUGUGUUACAGGACCCUGCCGGCCCAGCUGCAGGGGCUUAACAGAAGCAUGGAGCAGCAGCUGUGCGAGCUCUGCUGCGACACGGAGCACCAGGACCACAAGCACAGGUCCUUCUGGACGUGAAGACGUGGCUGGAGCAGGAGAUCGCCACCUACCGCCGCUUGCUGGAGGUUGAGGACGCCCAGAGGUGAUACUGACGAUGCAGGCUGGAGUCUGGCUGAGGAGCCUUGAAUGCCAAGUUAAAGCGUCUGGACUAGAUCACGUAGGCAAUGGGGAGCCAUGGAGGGAUUUGGAGCAGGAGAGUGAAAUGAACAUCAAGAGAUUUUAGAACAUUCACUCUGGCUGCAGAGGGAGAAAUGGAUCAGAGGGGUCAGGGCGGGGCCAGAGAGAUGUGUCAGGGGGCUGGAGCAGGGAGUCUGGCCAGAGAAGUCCCGUGCGGUGGUGGGUAGUGGGGCAGGGGAAGGAAGGUGGUGCACGCAGAAGAGAGGUUAUAGCUCAAAACAGCGGGACUGGAUGCCUGGAUCUCGGGGUAAGCAUGGCUCACAGUCAGGACUCAGUAAGUGUCGGGAGAACACAUGAAGGAGCAGGCAUUGAUGGCCCUGGGUUUCUGGUUCUGAUGACUGUGUGAGUGGUGAAGAGCAAGGUGGGUGGUGGUUGGGUUUGCAGUUGGGAAGGGUGAUCAGGCCUUCAGCUGAGAGUGUCCCGGAGUCUCCAUGCUUAGUCACACGUUGCAGCUUUUUGCUCCCCGGAAAUGGUGAAGUCCAUCUAUAGUCUAACAACAGUCUCUCCUGCUUUAAUUGGGUCUAUUUGUUGGGCCCUCUGGGUUAUGGAAAAACCACUUGCUCAGCUUCUCCUUGUAAAUUCCUGGCUGGCCACUCAGUACUCCUUGUCCCUGGCCUCGCAGCCCACCCGGGAAGCCACAGUGACCAGCCACCAGGUGUGCCAUCGUGGAGGAAGUCCAGGUUGGAGAGGUGGUCUUCUUCUGUGAGCAGGUCCACUUCUCCACCCACUGAGACCCCUUUCUGUCUGCGACAGCCCCACCUCGAGGGCCACGGCACAGCCAUCAGCUCCAGCUCCCAGCAUGCUACUGCCACGCCCCGAGUGUCCGUCUGGGCCCCGGUGCAUGGCCUGUUGUCUUUCUGUAUCUACUUUCUGCAGCCCCUCACUGAGGAGGCCUCCUGGGUUUGUCCAGUGCCUACUAUUAAAGCUUUGCUCCAAGUUC
ensembl:lncRNA KRT42P keratin 42, pseudogene